GAUGAACGCUGGCGGCGUGCCUAAUACAUGCAAGUCGAGCGAACAGACGAGGAGCUUGCUCCUCUGACGUUAGCGGCGGACGGGUGAGUAACACGUGGAUAACCUACCUAUAAGACUGGGAUAACUUCGGGAAACCGGAGCUAAUACCGGAUAACAUGUUGAACCGCAUGGUUCAACAGUGAAAGACGGUCUUGCUGUCACUUAUAGAUGGAUCCGCGCCGCAUUAGCUAGUUGGUAAGGUAACGGCUUACCAAGGCAACGAUGCGUAGCCGACCUGAGAGGGUGAUCGGCCACACUGGAACUGAGACACGGUCCAGACGCCUACGGGAGGCAGCAGUAGGGAAUCUUCCGCAAUGGGCGAAAGCCUGACGGAGCAACGCCGCGUGAGUGAAGAAGGUCUUCGGAUCGUAAAACUCUGUUAUUAGGGAAGAACAAAUGUGUAAGUAACUAUGCACGUCUUGACGGUACCUAAUCAGAAAGCCACGGCUAACUACGU
rnacentral:rRNA from 1 species